GGAUGGGUCUGCGGCCGAUUAGGUAGUUGGUUAGGUAACGGCUUACCAAGCCGUCGAUCGGUACGGGUUGUGAGAGCAAGAGCCCGGAGAUGGAACCUGAGACAAGGUUCCAGGCCCUACGGGGUGCAGCAGGCGCGAAACCUCCGCAAUGUGAGAAAUCGCGACGGGGGGAUCCCAAGUGCCAUUCUUAACGGGAUGGCUUUUCAUUAGUGUAAAGAGCUUUUGGAAUAAGGGCUGGGCAAGACCGGUGCCAGCCGCCGCGGUAACACCGGCAGCUCUAGUGGUAGCAGUUUUUAUUGGGCCUAAAGCGUCCGUAGCCGGUUUAAUAAGUCUCUGGUGAAAUCCUGUAGCUUAACUGUGGGAAUUGCUGGAGAUACUAUUAGACUUGAGACCGGGAGAGGUUAGAGGUACUCCCAGGGUAGAGGUGAAAUUCUGUAAUCCUGGGAGGACCGCCUGUUGCGAAGGCGUCUAACUGGAACGGUUCUGACGGUGAGGGACGAAAGUUAGGGGCGCGAACCGGAUUAGAUACCCGGGUAGUCCUAACUGUAAACGAUGCGGACUUGGUGUUGGGGUGGCUUUGAGCUGCUCCAGUGCCGAAGGGAAGCUGUUAAGUCCGCCGCCUGGGAAGUACGGUCGCAAGACUGAAACUUAA
rnacentral:rRNA from 1 species